rnacentral:rRNA from 1 species
GCGCGAAAACUUUACAAUGCUGGCAACAGCGAUAAGGGAACCUCGAGUGCCAGGUUACAAAUCUGGCUGUCGAGAUGCAUAAAAAGCAUUUCAUAGCAAGGGCCGGGCAAGACCGGUGCCAGCCGCCGCGGUAACACCGGCGGCUCGAGUGGUAACCGUUAUUAUUGGGUCUAAAGGGUCUGUAGCCGGCCGGAUAAGUCUCUUGAGAAAUCUGGCAGCUUAACUGUCAGGCUUUCAGGAGAUACUGUCUGGCUCGAGGCCGGGAGAGGUGAGAGGUACUUCAGGGGUAGGUGUGAAAUCUUGUAAUCCUUGAAGGACUACCAGGGGCGAAAGCGUCUCACCAGAACGGACCUGGCGGCAAGGGACGAAAGCUAGGGGCACGAGCC